rnacentral:rRNA from 1 species
AGCGAACGUUAGCGGCGGGCCUAACACAUGCAAGUCGAGCGAGAAAAGGGCUUCGGCCCUGAGUAAAGCGGCGGACGGGUGAGUAACACGUAGGUAAUCUUCCCUUGAGCGGGGGACAACGAGCCGAAAGGCUCGCUAAUACCGCAUACGUUUCUCGGGACUCUGGUCCUGGGAAGGAAAGCUAGGCAGCAAUGUCCGGCACUCGAGGAGGAGCCUGCGUCGCAUCAGCUAGUUGGUGGGGUAACGGCCUACCAAGGCGAAGACGCGUAGCUGGUCGGAGAGGAGGAUCAACCACACUGAAACUGAGACAAGGUUCAGACUCCUACGGGAGGCAGCAGUGGGGAAUAUUGGACAAUGGGGGGAACCCUGAUCCAGCCAUGCCGCGUGUGUGAAGAAGGCCUUAUGGUUGUAAAGCACUUUAAGCGAGGAGGAGGCUCUUUUGGUUAAUACCCAAGAUGAGUGGACGUUACUCGCAGAAUAAGCACCGGCUAACUCUGUGCCAGCCGCCGCCGUAAAAC